GGGCAGGGCACGGGCUGCCCCCGAGCGGGGGCAGGGGGAACCGCGCCGGGCAGCCGCCUCACCGAGACCCGCUCCUGGGGCUGCGCGGGGCCGCGGCCGCCCGCCGCUGCCGGCCCUCCGUCGCCUCCGUCCGCCAUCUUGGGAGCGAAAGACGCGGCCGCCGCCGCCCGCCUCAAGCUUCCGCCAGCCCCCGGGCCCGCUCCGCCGCCCGCCCCUCACCGCGGCUCGGCUGCGCCGCGCAGGCGCCGCCCGCUCCCUGCGCAAGCGCCGCGGCACCGAGCCCGGCCCGGCACUGCCCCGGGGCCAGGAGGUGCCCGGCAGGAGGGAGCCCGGGGAGCGCCGUGAGGCGAGGCGAGGCGGGGAGCCUGCUUCCUGCCGCGGGAGGCCGAUCUGGAUGUGUCGGCACUCCUUACUGCUUCAAGCCUCCAAGCAACUCGCACAUUCUUCAAAUACCGCUGCGGAUGGCAUAACAUUUUCAGGUGAACAUUUCAGGUAUAUUUGUUAGAUUUUCCUCAGUGCAUCGGGCCAGAGAUACUCCUAAAGCUUUUCUUAUGUCGUAGGAACACAUAAUUGUACCUUUCCAUGGUAGCUUCAUACCCAUUUUUUAUUGAAAUGCUCUAAAAUACAGUCAGCAGCAGAUUGAAGGGGCAUGACGAGAACAACCAUAUGUUAGGGCACGUUUUAGCAAAGUUGUAUCAUGCUACCAGAUGAGAAAGAUUCAAGAAAACAUAGUCUUGAAUCUUUGUUUGCCAGAAAGUCUGUUAAGUACUUAUGAUUUCAAAGAUAUAUAAAUUGCGGAUGAAGCAGUCUUACCAAUUCUCCUUUGUACAUUCCACUGACAAAGCAGGUGACACAUAGGUAGUCAGUCUUCUAUACCAAAAAGAGUCAAACAACUAGGAAAACGUACAGUGAAAAUGGCAUAAAGUAAUAUUAAUUUAGUAGCAAUUAUGUUAUUGUACCUGGGGAAGGCCAAUAGAGGAGCCCAAUUUGAAUUAGAUGUCUUGAACAGAGCAGAUUUAAAGUAAACUGAAGAAUUAACAUGGUGUAUAGAAAUCUUGGGAGUAAUUAUGAGAAGUCACUGCACAUUUAUUUAUCUUACUGAAAUCUGUCACUUAGAAUUACUGUGUAUAUAUUGUAUCUGUGUCAGUGUUAGCCACAGAAUAUGAAAAACUGACUGAAUUUUGUAGCUUUACUCAUUGCCAAUGAGCCAAUUAAAAAUCAAUACAGAGCUUCAUCUCUUUUUCUUUGAAUGUAUUGCGAAUUUGUACCCAACCCUAUCUGACAGCACAGCUGACUGGUAACCAGCAGUGCUGUUUGUGCAACAGCCGAGUUUAGACUGCAACUGCUAUGGAUUUUGAAGAGUCCUCCUCAUGUUUUAGUAUCAACACCAGCAAUUGUAUAAUCAAGUUUCUGAUGUAGUCCAGCAAGAGAAGCAAGGCUGUGAUGCCAAGAUAGCAACAAACAAGCUGAAGCAGCAAGAGGACUGCCGGCAGUCCCCUCUGCUGUGAGGCAAACAUCUUGUGUGGCUGCAUCUUUUAGCUGAACUAUUGUUACAAUUUUGUUUAACUAUGAGACUUUUAGAAGAAGUUAUGCUAAUAUAAACCACCUGCUUUAGAUGAACAAGACUAUAGACUUUUAAACAAAAAAAAAAAAAGAGGAAGACCUGGAAUUUACUUAUGCUAGGUAGGAGACAGCAAACUAAGUGACAAUAAACCUUUGAAAUAACAAGUUUACACUAAUACACAGGCAGAAAUGUCACAAAACAGUAAAAUCUCAACGGAUACUAAAAUAAUAGAGGGAAUAAGAACAAAAUGGGAAUUCAGAUAAGUUGUAAUAGAGAGAAUGCUGAAGCUUGGCACUCCUGUUUGCUAGAGCUGAAAUAAAAUGGUAGAGCUUCAGGAAGAAAAUGAGCAAAGUAGGAAGAUUACCAGGAGGACCGAUUGCUAACUCUUGGGUUACAAGUUGAUGUCUGGAGGGUUGAGAUGCAUUACACAGACAAACAAGGUGGGAUCCACCUACCAACAAACAAAAACAACUAAAUAUAUAUAUGUAUUAAGUUCCACAAAAGAGCAAAUUUAGCAAGAACAUCUGGAAAAGGGUGUAAUAUGUUAAUAAAGCUUAGGUGUUUUGUUUUCUUUGAUCAAUGCUAAGAAAUUAAAUCUUUGUCCUAAAAGAAAUUAAUGAGGAGUGUCAGGGUAAUGAAAAGUAAUACCAAAGUAGAAAGUUCUAAGUCUGAAAAGUUUGUAAUGCUACAUUAAAUAGCAAACUGAUGUGGCAGAAGCUUUUUCAGCUAAAUUCCUGGUAAGACUGUUGGCAAAAAGAAAACAGCAAACGCAGACAGUUAGUGAAAGAGCAAAGAGUGAAUUAGCAAUUACGAAACCGUGUAGUUGCCCUGGCAAGGUUUAUCAUGGUGUAUGUGGGAAAAAAAAAAAAAAAAAAAAGAAAAAAAAAAAGGCCCUAAAAAAGGCUCCUAAAGGCCCUAAAAUGAAUUUUUAAAUCAGGAGCAAAAGAAGUCAGUCAGCUUUCUGCGCGGUGACAGAAAGCCAAGAGAGGGUGUCGGUGUGCGGGGCUGGGUGGGCAGCGGGACGAGCCACCCAUCUCCUCUCCUUGCGCUUCUAUCGUCCCUGCGGCGACAGCCCCGCCGGCGGGCGGAAUUCCCCUUAAAAACACCAAAUCCGGCAAACCCCGGGAGGAAGCGGGCAGCUCCCCCCACAGAGGGGGCCGGCACGGGUCCUCCCAGCCAACCAUAGAGGCGCG
rnacentral:lncRNA from 1 species